GACGUAGGGCGCGAGCGUUGUCCGGAUUUAUUGGGCGUAAAGAGCUCGUAGGCGGCUUGUUGCGUCGACUGUGAAACCGCGGCUUAACCGCGGCCUGCAGUUGAUACGGGCAGGCUAGAGUUCGGUAGGGGAGACUGGAAUUCCUGGUGUAGCGGUGAAAUGCGCAGAUAUCAGAGGAACACCGAGUGGCGAAGGCAGCUCGCUGGGACGGUACUGACGCUGAGGCGCGAAAGCGUGGGGAGCAAACAGG
rnacentral:rRNA from 1 species